rnacentral:lncRNA from 1 species
CGGCCGCCCCAGCGCCCGAGGCGCCGGGCCGAGGAGGGCCCGGGGAGGGGAGGCGGGGCCGGGCGGCUCCUCCUCGCCGGGAACUCGGGAUGACCUUGGCCGAGUCGCCCGGGUGGGCCGUUUUGUGGUUUUGCGGAUCCGUGGCGGGAACCUCACGGAGGAGCGGGCCGUUUGCCGGGCGCCUCGCUGAGGGAGGGCGAAGAAGAGGCAUCCUGAGGCCUCCUAAGGCCCCUGAGGGCGGGCUCUGGUUUUUCUUCUCUCAAAACUCCGGUGUACCUUGAGGUGACUAGCAUGCAGAUAUUCGCACCCUGACUUGGUUUGGCUGCCUGACUACUGACAUGGCCCACCGGGGUGGGGAGAGGGACUUCCAGACUUCAGCUCGUCGGAUGGGUACCUCCCUGCUUUUCCAGCUUUCAGUGCAUGAGCGGGAACUGGACCUUGUUUUUCUGGAUCAUAGCUAUGCAAAACCGUGGAGUGCCCACCCCGAUGCCAGCAGCGCCCGCCCCACCCGCAUGCUCUUUGUAACUCCCCGUCGGCAGCAGGAGAAUACUAUGUGAGUUUGAGAAUACCAUGUGAGUUUGGGUUUCCUUCUUAAGGGCUACUUCCGCCUGACCAUGGCAGUGUGGCGGGGCAUAGAUGUUCUUGAGAGUGAUUGGGGCUGUGGGGUGACUGGAGAGCUUGGAAGGUGAAGCUGAAGAAUUAGUGUCGUCCCCCCCCCCCCCCUUU